GAUGAAGAACGUAGCGAAAUGCGAUAAGUAAUAUGAAUUGCAGAAUUCAGUGAAUCAUCGAAUCUUUGAACGCACCUUGCGCUCUUUGGUAUUCCGAAGAGCAUGCCUGUUUGAGUGUCAUGAAAAUAUCAACCUUGACUUGGGUUUUGUGCUCUAGUCUCGGCUUGGAAUUGGGUGCUUGCCGCUUUUACGAGCGGCUCACCUUAAAUGUAUUAGCUGGAUCUGUCUUUGAGACUUGGUUUGACUUGGCGUAAUAAGUAUUUCGCUAAGGACAUUCUUCGGAGUGGCCUCGUUUCUAGGACGCUUGUCCGCUUUCCAAUACAAGUUCCACCUCGUGGACAUGACUUUUUAUUAUCUGGCCUCAAAUCAGGUAGGACUACCCGCUGAACUUAAGCAUAUCAAUAAGCGGAGGA
rnacentral:misc_RNA from 1 species